CCUACGGGGGGCAGCAGUGGGGAAUAUUGCACAAUGGGGGAAACCCUGAUGCAGCAACGCCGCGUGAGUGAGGAAGUAUUUCGGUAUGUAAAGCUCUAUCAGCAGGGAAGAAAAUGACGGUACCUGAGUAAGAAGCCCCGGCUAACUACGUGCCAGCAGCCGCGGUAAUACGUAGGGGGCAAGCGUUAUCCGGAUUUACUGGGUGUAAAGGGAGCGUAGACGGCAGUGCAAGUCUGGAGUGAAAGGCGGGGGCUCAACCCCCGGACUGCUCUGGAAACUGUACGGCUGGAGUGCAGGAGAGGUAAGUGGAAUUCCUAGUGUAGCGGUGAAAUGGGUAGAUAUUAGGAGGAACACCAGUGGCGAAGGCGGCUUACUGGACUGUAACUGACGUUGAGGCUCGAAAGCGUGGGGAGCGAAAGGGAUUAGAUACCCUGGUAUC
rnacentral:rRNA from 1 species